rnacentral:rRNA from 1 species
UUGUCGUAGCUUGCUAUGAUAAAAAUUAGUGGCAGACGGGUGAGUAAUGCAUAGGAAUCUACCUAGUAGUAUGGGAUAGCCACUAGAAAUGGUGGGUAAUACUGUAUAAUCCCUGCGGGGGAAAGAUUUAUCGCUAUUAGAUGAGCCUAUGUUAGAUUAGCUAGUUGGUAGGGUAAAGGCCUACCAAGGCAGUGAUCUAUAGCUGGUCUGAGAGGAUGAUCAGCCACACUGGAACUGAGAUACGGUCCAGACUCCUACGGGAGGCAGCAGUGGGGAAUAUUGGACAAUGGGCGCAAGCCUGAUCCAGCUAUGCGGCGUGAGUGAGGAAGGCCUUAGGGUUGUAAAACUCUUUCAGUGGGGAAGAUAAUGACGGUACCCACAGAAGAAGUCCCGGCAAACUCCGUGCCAGCAGCCGCGGUAAUACGGAGGGGGCAAGCGUUGUUCGGAAUUAUUGGGCGUAAAGGGCAUGUAGGCGGUUCGGUAAGUUAAAGGUGAAAUGCCAGGGCUUAACCCUGGAGCUGCUUUUAAUACUGCCAGACUCGAGUCCGGGAGAGGAUAGCGGAAUUCCUAGUGUAGAGGUGAAAUUCGUAGAUAUUA